AAAACGGCUAGUAGACUACCAACGUCCAGAAGAAAGGACACCGGAUGGCAUGUGAAAGCAUUGUUUAGGUGGACUUCUCUCCUCUGACCGGUUACCAAGACAGCUGGGUGUGUAGGAAACUGGAACUAAGUCACUGAAGAAGUAAACCGAUGAAAACCGAUUUGGAUUGUCUGAGAGAUCUGUAGGGCACAAGUAAGAGGAGAAGAAUGCUGCUCAGCUGGGUCGGCGUCGGCCACACUACUUAUUCAAGAAGCCCUUGGAUAUCAUUGGCAUGUAUGAAGCACAGUCAUUCCGGUAGUCCGUUCCUCGAUGGACGUGAUGACCUGGCACCAAAACCGCUUAAUGUGUACGGAGCUGUGUCUGCAUCGAGGGAAGAACGCGGCACUGAAAUGACACAAAUGAAAGAAGAUUACUUCUGCUCUGCUGGGUCUGUGACACUAUUUAUCCGAGGAGUCCUCAAACAUCAGGAUGUAGGAAGACACAAGUAAAAGGAGAAGAAUGCUGCUCAGCUGGGUCGGCGGCCACACUACUUAUUCAAGAAGCUCUUGGAUAUCAUCAGCAUGUAUGAAACUUGUGGUGAGAUGCCAAGAGCUGCCAUGAGGGAUAUGCAACCUGCAGCUUCACCGUGCUUUUGGGAGGUCAUCUACUACGUGAACCUUAAUAUCUACAAGCCAGCUACUUUAAAUCCUUGAAAGGGUAGUGAUGUCAAUCAAACCAGAUCACGAGACAAGGUCCUGAGGUACAAACUGUCAAUAUAAUUGUGACAUCCCUGUCAGUUCUUUUGGACUGGAUACAUGCUGUGUUUGAAAUGUAUUAUUUGGAUAACCACCCAUCAGGGAAUACCUUGUUUGUUAAUGACAGAUGGACCUGCCAUGGACAUGUAGUGCACACUUGUGAUGUUUUUUUUAUUUUAACGUUUUCUAUGUUUUUUCAAUGUUUUUUUAUUUAUGUUCUGUUAUAUGCUGGUUAUGUAAGUACUGUAUGGAAUGUAGUGACUGUAGAGACCAAGACAAAUUUCAACCUGGGGACAAUUAAGUUCACUCCACUCUGUUAGCGCAGUUAUGGAUGCACUGUAAAGUUUGUAAUUAACAAAAAGUACGGUGAGAAGCCUGUUUGUGCAGAUGGACCUGCUGGCGGGUCUGUUUACUCAUAGCUAAAAAGCAACAUAUUCUCUGUGCAAAGCACAUGGGCUCUUCGCAAAGGGGUUAAACAUUUUAAUGUGCUGUUUUACAGUGUGCUAUA